AUCUGCCGAAUGGAGGGGGACAACAGUUGGAAACGACUGCUAAUACCGCAUAAUGUCGCGAGACCAAAGCAUGGGACCUUAGGGCCAUGCGCCAUUUGAUGAACCCAUAUGGGAUUAGCUAGUAGGUGAGGUAAUGGCUCACCUAGGCGACGAUCUCUAGCUGGUCUGAGAGGAUGACCAGCCACACUGGGACUGAGACACGGCCCAGACUCCUACGGGAGGCAGCAGUGGGGAAUAUUGCACAAUGGGGGAAACCCUGAUGCAGCCAUGCCGCGUGUAUGAAGAAGGCCUUCGGGUUGUAAAGUACUUUCGGUAGCGAGGAAGGGGUUAUAUCUAAUAGGUGUAACCAUUGACGUUAACUACAGAAGAAGCACCGGCUAACUCCGUGCCAGCAGCCGCGGUAAUACGGAGGGUGCGAGCGUUAAUCGGAAUGACUGGGCGUAAAGGGCAUGUAGGCGGAUAGUUAAGUUAGGUGUGAAAGCCCCGGGCUCAACCUGGGAAUUGCAUUUAAAACUGGUUAUCUGGAGUAUUGUAGANGAAGGUAGAAUUCCAUGUGUAGCGGUGAAAUGCGUANAGAUGUGGAGGAAUACC
rnacentral:rRNA from 1 species